CCCGUGGGCGGCCGCGGCGGGGCUGGCGCUGCCACCGCCGCAGUGUUCGGGAGGGGGAGCGUUGCCGCCCCGCUUCCUGUAGCAGCCGCCCGCCGCCAGGCGGGGACCGCGAGAAAAGCAAUGCUGAGAGAUGGAGAAAGAGCCCUUGAAAGAUUCCGUGGAUCCUGCUACAUCUCAAG